CAGAUUUCAGUGACAUCCUCAAAAAACAAGGAAAGUCCAGUAUCUCUCUCACUCUGAUGUGGUUCAUCCCCAAGCAAUGCUUCUUCCUAUGGACUAAAAAUGAAAGCAAGUCAAAUAUGGAGAAAGAUUCUAGGAAACCUUCAACUUUUGUUUCUAGGUACCUUUGAUCUAAAGACAGGACUGUCAUCUCCUGUUUCCAUUAUAACUAUAUCAGAA